CCUACGGGUGGCAGCAGUGAGGAAUAUUGGUCAAUGGGCGGGAGCCUGAACCAGCCAAGUCGCGUGCAGGAUGACGGCCCUAUGGGUUGUAAACCUCUUUUGUCGGGGAGUAAAGUGCCGCACGUGUAUGGUUUGGCAAGUACCCUGUGAAAAAGCAUCGGCUAAUUCCGUGCCAGCAGCCGCGGUAAUACGGAGGAUGCGGGCGUUAUCCGGAUUUAUUGGGUUUAAAGGGUGCGUAGGCGGACGCUUAAGUCAGCGGUAAAAUUGCGGGGCUCAACCUCGUCGAGCCGUUGCGACUGGGUGCCUUGAGUGCGCGAGAAGCACGCGGAAUGCGUGGUGUAGCGGUGAAAUGCAUAGAUAUGACGAAGAACUCCGAUUGCGAAGGCAGCGUACUGGAGCCCAACUGACGCUGAAGCACGAAGGCGUGGGUAUCGAACAGGAUUAGAUACCCUUGUAGUC
rnacentral:rRNA from 1 species